rnacentral:misc_RNA from 2 species
CAAACGAGUGUUUUAUGGCACUCUUUAAAAAUCCAUAUCCACCUUGUGUGCAAUGUUUGUUGGGAAAGUCUUUUCUUUCCCUUCAUAAAUAUCAACCUAUAUCUUUAACAACAUUCGUCUGAUAACAUAUUAUGAAUAUACUUAAUUCAAAAUA